UUCGAUUUUUUAUUUAUUUUUAUAGUGUUUAUAUAUAUUUUUAAACUACGUUGUUGGUUAGGGGCUCAUAAGUAAGCAUUUCACUGUUGUAUUCAGUGCAUGUGACUAAUACAAUUUGAUUUAAUUUGAAUAACAUUUGAAAGACCUUAGCUAUUUUGCCAUCUCAUAUGAUUAUUGUUUGGCAAGACCGCAUAAACAGAUCUGAGAUUCAGGUUAGGAUCAGAGUGACAAUGUAUACUUUGGAAACCAUCCUACUAAGCUCCUGUCCCAGUGUAUGAUGCUGACUGGUCGUGGUUGGUUCCAGAGAUGUGGCGAUGCGGGCGGCAGUGGGUGGGGACGAGAGUGCCCUGGACAUGUUCAACUGGAGGAAAGCUGGGAAGUUAGAAAACUGUGUGUUUUUACCUGCGUUGUUCCCUUACGUGUGUGUGUGUGUUUGAAUGUGUACGUGCAUGCAUGUCUGAGAUAUUCCCCUGAAACAAGCCCUCAACGGUUAGUGUGUGUUUAGGUUUGGUGCGCUGCCUGGUGUAAUGAAGCGAAAUUAAAGCAGCACUGUCACUGCUUGCCUUGGUGAGUGUGUAUUGACUCUGUGACUCCGUGUCCUGUCGUGGAAAUACAAAUUAAUAAUGAUUAGAGACAAGGUCAAUCACCAAUCAGGAUUUUUCUUUAUUAAUAACAUUGAUUAAUUAUCUGCUGUAAAGACUGUUCUCAUUGUGUAGAAACCAGGGUCUGGCCCCCAAAACAAGGUUCCUUUCAUUAUCCAUACCCAAGCCAUCUCUCCCUGGUACAUUCCAGUCAAACCGGAGCAACCUCCCUCACAUGAAUGGAAUGUGACUUGUUAGGUUCAUCACCCAAGGUAUCGUAAAUCUACUGUCAGCAUUAAGCCCCAGAUGCCCACUCUCCGUUCACACAGACAUAAUAUAGUUCUAAGAACCCCCUAUUCUGUUGCAUAAAGCAACCAGAUGAUGCAAUGACAGUAUUAUAACAUAAUCUUGUAAUUUCAAGAAAAGGUACACUGUGUGAAUGAGUGUGGCAGGAGUAGCCCAGUGCUCAGUGUGGACGGCUCCAUCCAGAAGCUCUUCUAUCUGAAGAGUAGAGACAUCCUAGAAAUCAUGAAAACCCUUUUGAUGUCGCAGUACACUCUGGGACCUGAGGGGGGAGCCCCGGAGCUCAUGAAGGUGAAGCUGAGCGGAAAGAGUGGCCGAAGCGCAGAUAUCGUUUCAACAGAGACAGGCCUCUCAUCACAGCUACAGGGGAACAGGACAUAGUCACAGUGUGGAACGGGAAGCAGGUCACUGUGUACGAAUCCUCAGGGACAACUCUACGCAACACGGGGUAACAUAGUUAAAUAGUCACAACUCCAGCAUGUUGUGCACAACACCAGUGCACAACACCAGCAUGGCACUGCAUAACACGAUCAUAAACAUUGUUAAGACAGAUACUUAGUGUUAUUAAGCCCUGUGUGAAUCCUCCUUUCCGGCUCGUCCCCAGGAUAUUUUCCGUGUGAGUCUCAGGUCUUAGCUGUGCUGUGAAUAUCUACACUGUGGAGCCCAAUAGGGUCCAGGUCCACACACCACAGGUCGGUCCCCUUUCUGAAACCCUCUGCCUAUCCACAUUGCCUCCCUUCUUACCCUUUUCUGUUCACACUUGGUACACACAGUCACGCAUGCAUGUGGGAAUACAUAUAUAUGCAUGCAUGUGGGAAUACAUAUAUACGCAUGCACACACACACAUGCAUACUGCCUCAUAUGGCUUCAAAUCUAUUUCAGUGUUGUUUUUUGCUGUUUUCUGUAGCCUAUAUUAUAGAUAAGCAAUGUGUAUCUACAGUGCCUUGCGAAAGUAUUCGGCCCCCUUGAACUUUGCGACCU